rnacentral:rRNA from 1 species
GAUGAACGCUAGCUACAGGCUUAACACAUGCAAGUCGAGGGGUAGCAGGGUAGCAAUACCGCUGACGACCGGCGCACGGGCGAGUAACACGUAUCCAACCUUCCCAUAACUCGGGGAUAGCCUUUCGAAAGAAAGAUUAAUACCCGAUAGUACUUUUUCAAGGCAUCUUGAGAAAGUUAAAGAUUUAUUGGUUAUGGAUGGGGAUGCGUUCCAUUAGAUAGUUGGUGAGGUAACGGCUCACCAAGUCUUCGAUGGAUAGGGGUUCUGAGAGGAAGGUCCCCCACAGUGGUACUGAGACACGGACCAAACUCCUACGGGAGGCAGCAGUGAGGAAUAUUGGUCAAUGGGCGAGAGCCUGAACCAGCCAAGUAGCGUGAAGGAUGAAGGUCUUAUGGAUUGUAAACUUCUUUUAUAGUAGAAUAAAGUGAUCCACGUGUGGAUUUUUGUAUGUAUACUAUGAAUAAGGAUCGGCUAACUCCGUGCCAGCCGCCGCCGUAAGAC